rfam:Desulfovibrio sp. X2 ctg36, whole genome shotgun sequence.
GAACUGGAGAGUUUGAUCCUGGCUCAGAUUGAACGCUGGCGGCGUGCUUAACACAUGCAAGUCGUGCGAGAAAGUCUGCUUCGGUGGGCGAGUACAGCGGCGCACGGGUGAGUAACGCGUGGAUAAUCUACCGCGAGGACUGGGAU